CUUGGUCAUUUAGAGGAAGUAAAAGUCGUAACAAGGUUUCNGUAGGUGAACCUGCGGAAGGAUCAUUACCGAAUCGUCAAACACGGGUUGUUGCUGGCCCCCGAAAGGGGCAUGUGCACGCUCUGUUUACACAUCCACUCACACCAGUGCACCCUCUGUAGUUCUAUGGUUCGGAAGACCCCGUCUUUCUUCCGUAGCUCUACGUCUUUACACACACACUGUAGUGACGUCUCAUGGAAUGUUUUUAUGCGUUUAACGCGAUACAAUACAACUUUCAGCAACGGAUCUCUUGGCUCUCGCAUCGAUGAAGAACGCAGCGAAAUGCGAUAAGUAAUGUGAAUUGCAGAAUUCAGUGAAUCAUCGAAUCUUUGAACGCACCUUGCGCCCCUUGGUUAUUCCUUGGAGCAUGCCUGUUUGAGUAUCAUGAACACCUCAACUCUCGUGGUCUUCCGCGAUGAGCUUGGACUUUGGAGGUUUGCUGGCCCUGCGGCCGGCUCCUCUCAAAUGAAUCAGCUUGCCAGUGUUUGGUGGCGUCACGGGUGUGAUAACUAUCUACGCUCGCGGUCGCCCGCCAGGUUACCCUCAGCGAUGAAGGUUCAUUGGGGCUCACAAACGUCUCUCCCCGGCGAAGACAACUUUUGAACGUUCGAUCUCAAAUCAGGUAGGACUACCCGCUGAACUUAAGCAUAUCAAUAAGCGGAGGA
rnacentral:rRNA from 1 species